UGGAAGGCGUGACUGGCUGGCUCGACGAGGCGUUCCUGGCCAAUCUUAAGGCAGACCGGAUCAUCGGAACCACCAUCCGAAGGAAUCAACUUUACCGGAUAGAAAGCUAGCAAACCUUUGCCAAAUUCUGAUUAAUCCGUUGGAUUGCGAUCCGGUGCUAUCGAACGUCUCUGUUGGUAGCCAGGAAUAAAAAGUUCCGAGAGAAGGCAUCCCGGUCGAGUCGUUCGCUUCCGCAAAACCAGAACAAAAAAAGCGAACACCUUCCCGGUGGUAAGUUAACCUCAUUGUGCGCAUGCUUUCAUGCACUAAAUGCACUUCGUAUUGCAGUCAGCCACAAUUCACCACAGCGCAGAUUUGGCGAGGGAAGAACCUGACCGUGGAAAGGAAGAAACAGCCCCAAUAUUGGGGUUGUUUUUUGGCUUGGCGCAGUUCUCCCAAAGCUGCUGCUGUUGGUAGCCUCGGUGCCUGAAAUCGAGCCUAGCUACGAAGGAUCACCGCCUAGAAAGACAUUCGUCUUCAGCAACAAAACGCCACCAGGCUUCAGAGGUCCGGUUCCUGAUCACCUGGUUGGUAUCCUCGGGUGGUCAACAAAAAUAAACGAGGUCAAGUCGUAUGUCAGGAGAAAGUUCAAGUUCAUCAGUGCGGGGUUUGUGAAAUACCCC